AUACAGGGGGUGCGAGCGUUAAUCGGAAUUACUGGGCGUAAAGAGUACGUAGGCGGUUGCUUAAGUCAGAUGUGAAAGCCCCGGGCUCAGCCUGGGAACUGCAUUUGAAACUGAGUGACUAGAGUUUAAGAGAGGGGAGUAGAAUUCCGGGUGUAGCGGUGAAAUGCGUAGAGAUCCGGAGGAAUACCAGUGGCGAAGGCGGCUCCCUGGCUUAAAACUGACGCUGAGGUACGAAAGCGUGGGUAGCAAACAGGAUUAGAAACCCGAGUAGUCC
rnacentral:rRNA from 1 species